CUUAUUACGGAUAUGGAAGGUAUUUGGUUCCAGAAAAUUACAGACUAUACUUGUAGGAGUUUCUCAAAUUUACCUUCUUUCUUUUGUUGGAAAAUAUAACAGGAACUAGGAUGGAAGAAGGUGAGGUGAGGUUAUUUAUAUGGGGAGUGGUAAGGGUCAAAUUGUUCAACUCCUAACCUCCCAUGGCCAUUCCUUUUAUGGAGGAAUUACCUCCAAAGUAGUCUGAACCUGGGAGUAGCAGGAGAGCAGAAAAGACCACUAAACUAAGAAGGCAGGUAUCUGAUGGUAUUAUGAACAGCUUCUCUUCACACCUAAAUAAUAAUUUUAGUGAUCACUGUAUUCUGUUAUGGGUCACAAAGCAAGUCUUUGGUAGCCAACAGACACACACGUAUGUGCGCGCACACACACACACACACACACACACCCCUUCCAAAGACUAUAAUGUCACAGGAGCUAAGGUUAUCACCUCAAAGGUGAUGUAAGUCUAUAUCACUUCUUUUUUAAAGGCUGAUACUAAGACUCUACAUAUUUCCUCUCAGUCUCAGCUUGACCGCUGGUUAGUGAAAAAUAAAGAUUUCUGUGUGUUCUACCACCAGAUGCAGCCCUGAAAACAAUGAAGAUGGCAUAGAUUGCACUUUGUGGUCCUCCCACAUCAGCUCUGCACCCAGGCUCACGAAGAAUUUCCAUAUAAAACCCAUCCAGCUGGGAUCAUCUUGAGAACGUUUUCUGUCUUGCACGUUACCAUUCGCCUCAGUCUACAAAUAUCUUGCCCUGAGACUCAUUCUGGAAGGGUCCUGGCUUUAGCUUUAACUUUACUUAAGAAAACAAGAACACCCACAAUGACUGUCAUAGGAAACCAUCAGUGCUCUUCAUGAACUGCCAUAGGACCUUCCCACAGGUUUCCUUUCUGCCUGGAAAGCUCUCCUCCCUCCCGCCUCCAAGCCUUGCCUCACCCCUUCUCAGCCCAGUUCAGACACCACCUUGCUGUCACCUCGCUACCUGAGAAACCUUCUCUGACCCCUGACUAAACCAGUGAAGAAAAUCAGAAAGUCCAGAAGCAGAUGCCGGAUAGUUUUUCUACAGGGACACGGUUCCAGAACUUUCCCCUCCUGCCAACAUUCUCUGGGAGAAGCCAUAACCUUGGUCCCAAGCCAGGAAGGUGGCUGACCUGGUACCACCAUGCUCACUGUGGGGCACACACACAUGGAAGAGGAAGUUGCUCCAGACACUACGAUGUCAUGUCAAUAGGACAGUGUCAGGGUCAGGUAGACCCUGUCCAGUAAUGAGAGAAGCAGAUCAGCAGCCUCAUAUGUCUACAGUCAUAUGAUGGGAGUCACUGUGGCUCAGUGUGUAGCCAGUGUAUGGCACUAGAUCAGAACUCUGGCUCAUGCAAACGACUUCUGACCACAUUACUGCUGUAUAGAAAUGAACAGCACUGAUACAUUCUGGAACUAAAGAAUCAUAAGGAAAGUGAGAACACAACCUACAAAGAUACUAUAAUUACAGCUUCCUUCAAACACCAUGUCUACUAUAAUCCUAAAUUUCUCCAGCUUUUCCUGAGGAUCAUGGAGCAUUAGAAAUUAA